rnacentral:sRNA from 1 species
CAUCAUCACCAUCACCCUGACUAGUCUUUCAGGCGAUUGGUGCUGGGAGACGACUCGAUUCUUCCAGCGGCGGACAAGCGUUAACAAAGAGAGCCCUCGGAAGAAUUCUUCCGAGGGUUUUUUUA